AGUUCUUAGGAUUUCAUUCAUCCAAAGACUGGGGAGGCUGGCCUGGCCUUUCUUAGUUUAUAGAACACAAUGAGAUCACAGUCUAUUGCUUCAGGAGAAAAAUAGCAAAAGAUUAGGAGACUUAAUAGAUUUGACAUGGCCAGAGGGCAUACCAGUAAUGGAAGAUGUGAAGCUGCAAUAGGAAUGAGUUGCUAGAAGUCCAUGGAGAAGAUUUUGGAAAGAAGCAUGAAUUCCUUAAUUCAUACCCUAGAGAAAUCCCAAACCUCAAAGUUUGAAGACUUUAUUUGUUAAAAGCACAGAGAAACAACAAACAUCAGCAGGGAGGAAGGAACAAGUUGUGAAACUUUAACAAGAUCUCCAAGGAAGCUUAGACAAAAAGAUCUGUGAGGAAGUCCUACUAGCUUAUGAAGAGUUAAAAAAAAAUUUAACAUAAGGCAAUCAAUACAGUGUGUCCUGGUCUGCCCAGGCUGAAGGACAGUGGCUCUGAUUUCCACAGCCUCGCUAGGAUUUUCAGACAGAAGAAAGGAUCUGGCACUUUCUGUGGUGGUGGGCAGCCUCAUCCUUGGGAUUUGGCAAUAACUAAAUGUUACAAACACAUCUUUUCCCUUCUUAGCCACCUCUGGCUGCUUACAGCACCUGAGGAAAUGUAACAGGGGUCCAAACAGUAAAGCCCACACCUGCAAAUGGAUUUUCUUAUGUAGGACUGGAACAUGGGGAGCACAAGAAACAACACUUGGGAGACAAUUUUCCUCUUGCAUUUGCUUCUUGAGAAUUGGCUGAAUCAAUAUUGCUUACUGCACUGUCAAAAUGUGUAUCCUCAUGCACAUUAGACAUUCUCAGAAUACUGGAUUUCUUGAUUUAUAUGUCAUUUAAGAAACUUGAAAUGAUUGUAUUUAAAUGCAGAGAGACUCAACAGCAAGAAAA